rnacentral:piRNA from 1 species
UGCAGAAAUUACUAUGACAUUCUGGGUGUU